GAGGCUGUAGCUCAGUGGUAGAGCGCAUGCCUAACCUACACAAUGUCCUGGGUUCAAUCCUCAGCACCUCCA
rnacentral:tRNA from 1 species